GACGAACGCUGGCGGCGUGCUUAACACAUGCAAGUCGAACGGAAAGGCCCUGCUUUUGUGGGGUGCUCGAGUGGCGAACGGGUGAGUAACACGUGAGUAACCUGCCCUUGACUUUGGGAUAACUUCAGGAAACUGGGGCUAAUACCGGAUAGGAGCUCCUGCUGCAUGGUGGGGGUUGGAAAGUUUCGGCGGUUGGGGAUGGACUCGCGGCUUAUCAGCUUGUUGGUGGGGUAGUGGCUUACCAAGGCUUUGACGGGUAGCCGGCCUGCGAGUGUGACCGGCCACAUUGGGACUGAGGUACGGCCCAGACUGCUACGGGAGGCAGGGGUGGGGAAUAUUGCGCGAUGGGCGGAGGCCUGAUGCAGCGACGCCGCGUGCGGGAUGACGGCCUUCGGGUUGUAAACCGCUUUCGCCUGUGACGAAGCGUGAGUGACGGUAAUGGGUAAAGAAGCACCGGCUAACUACGUG
rnacentral:rRNA from 1 species